GUGCCUACGGGACGCAGCAGUGGGGAAUAUUGCACAAUGGGGGAAACCCUGAUGCAGCAACGCCGCGUGAGUGAAGAAGUAUUUCGGUAUGUAAAGCUCUAUCAGCAGGGAAGAAACAAGACAGUACCUGUAGAAUAAGCUCCGGCUAACUACGUGCCAGCAGCCGCGGUAAUACGUAGGGAGCAAGCGUUAUCCGGAUUUAUUGGGUGUAAAGGGUGCGUAGACGGGAAAACAAGUUAGUUGUGAAAUCCCUCGGCUUAACUGAGGAACUGCAACUAAAACUAUUUUUCUUGAGUGUUGGAGAG
rnacentral:rRNA from 1 species